rnacentral:rRNA from 1 species
AUGGGUACGCCAGCGUUACGAGUCAAGACCAUACAUGUCAGUUCGGUGAUCCUCGCCGCAAGAAGUUCUUUCUUUUUUAAGCUUUUCUCAAAUGGCGCGAAAAAAUCUGGUCAAAGACAGUCAAAAAUUAGAAUUGCUGAUUCAGAGGAAAAUGCCUUUAUGGAGCUUUUACGCUUUAUGUACAAUGGAAAGUUGAGACCAACAACCGAGUCCAGUCUUCUGGUUGAUAUCUUGAUGGCUGCUGACAAAUUUGAUGUCGUUUCAUGCAUCAAGCUUUGCACUCAGCGGCUCAUAGGCCAGCCUAUGACCCUUGAAUGUGCAGUGAGGUGCCUAGAUCUCCCAUGUUCCAUUUCAAUGGCAGCUGACCUAUCAGAGGCAGCCAAGAAAUUCCUUUCUGAAAGAUACGAGAAAUUCCUGUUAACAAAGUUCCAAGAUGAAUUGAUGACGAUUCCUCUCACUGGGAUUGUAGCCAUCUUAUCAAGGAAUCACCCUGGGGUUGCAUCUGAAGAAUCCGUCUAUGACUUCGUGCUCAGGUGGGCCCAUUUGCAGUACCCAAAUUCAGAAGAAAGACACAAGAUUUUGAGCUCAAGUUUACUUCCACUGGUGACACUAGGGCGUAUCAUGACCAUUGCCAUCCUAACUGACCAGUCAUCUUGCGUAAUUAACUUUAGUAUAAAGCAUGAGCACUGCCGCGGGCUCUUCCCAUCAAGAUCGAUACGCUCGCCACCAUUCUAUUGUGCAGGGCAUGGUUUCUUCCUCUCGGCGCUCGCUAAAACUGAGCCAUUCAACUUUUUUGGUCUCUUAAUAAAGAAGCUAGAAGGCAAUGGCCCACUAAGGGGGGCAAUAGAUUAUGAGAUGGAGGUAACGGCAAGGCGGUCGUCGGAGUUUGACUCCAUAUCGAGGCGCACCACCACCACCGACAUUAGACAAGCUUUUGGAUGCAGGAUUCCUUGGUCGGAGAUCAGUGCUGAUGAUAGCCCCUUCUUUGUCGACGACAAUCUCCAUCUGCGAGUUCGCAUCAAGAUUACGCCGCAGCCAUAG